CCUACGGGUGGCAGCAGUGGGGAAUAUUGGACAAUGGGGGGAACCCUGAUCCAGCCAUGCCGCGUGUGUGAAGAAGGCCCUCGGGUUGUAAAGCACUUUCAGUGAGGAAGAACGCCUGGUGGUUAAUACCCAUCUGGAAAGACAUCACUCACAGAAGAAGCACCGGCUAACUCCGUGCCAGCAGCCGCGGUAAUACGGAGGGUGCGAGCGUUAAUCGGAAUUACUGGGCGUAAAGCGCGCGUAGGUGGCUUGAUAAGCCGGUUGUGAAAGCCCCGGGCUCAACCUGGGAACGGCAUCCGGAACUGUCAAGCUAGAGUGCAGGAGAGGAAGGUAGAAUUCCCGGUGUAGCGGUGAAAUGCGUAGAGAUCGGGAGGAAUACCAGUGGCGAAGGCGGCCUUCUGGACUGACACUGACACUGAGGUGCGAAAGCGUGGGUAGCAAACAGGAUUAGAUACCCUUGUAGUC
rnacentral:rRNA from 1 species